rnacentral:rRNA from 1 species
GUGCCAGCCGCCGCGGUAAUACGUAGGGUGCAAGCGUUAAUCGGAAUUACUGGGCGUAAAGCGUGCGCAGGCGGUGAUGUAAGACAGAUGUGAAAUCCCCGGGCUCAACCUGGGAACUGCAUUUGUGACUGCAUCGCUGGAGUGCGGCAGAGGGGGAUGGAAUUCCGCGUGUAGCAGUGAAAUGCGUAGAUAUGCGGAGGAACACCGAUGGCGAAGGCAAUCCCCUGGGCCUGCACUGACGCUCAUGCACGAAAGCGUGGGGAGCAAACAG